rnacentral:tRNA from 1 species
GUAAAUCUAGCUCAACAGGUCAGAGCACCGAUCUGUGGAUUCGGAGGAUUUGGUUCGAGUCCAAAGUUUUACC